rnacentral:misc_RNA from 1 species
UCUCCGUUGGUGAACCAGCGGAGGGAUCAUUACAGGACUCACAAGACUCCUUCACCCUGUGAACCUCACUACAAGCACGUUGCUUCGGCGGGUGUCCCGGCGGGGGUUUUCCCUCGCCGGGGCGCACAGCCCGCCGGCAGCCUACUAUACUCUGUCUCUUUGCGUAGGCAUCUCGAGAAAAAACAAACAAGUUAAAACUUUCAACAACGGAUCUCUUGGUUCCG